rnacentral:rRNA from 1 species
AUUGAACGCUGGCGGCAGGCCUAACACAUGCAAGUCGAGCGGAUGAAGGGAGCUUGCUCCUGGAUUCAGCGGCGGACGGGUCAGUAAUGCCUAGGAAUCUGCCUGGUAGUGGGGGAUAACGUCCGGAAACGGGCGCUAAUACCGCAUACGUCCUGAGGGAGAAAGUGGGGGAUCUUCGGACCUCACGCUAUCAGAUGAGCCUAGGUCGGAUUAGCUAGUUGGUGGGGUAAAGGCCUACCAAGGCGACGAUCCGUAACUGGUCUGAGAGGAUGAUCAGUCACACUGGAACUGAGACACGGUCCAGACUCCUACGGGAGGCAGCAGUGGGGAAUAUUGGACAAUGGGCGAAAGCCUGAUCCAGCCAUGCCGCGUGUGUGAAGAAGGUCUUCGGAUUGUAAAGCACUUUAAGUUGGGAGGAAGGGCAGUAAGUUAAUACCUUGCUGUUUUGACGUUACCAACAGAAUAAGCACCGGCUAACUUCGUG